UUCCGGUUGAUCCCGCCGGACCUGACUGCUAUCGGAUUGAUACUAAGCCAUGCGAGUCAUUGUAGCAAUACAAGGCAGACGGCUCAGUAACGCGUAGUCAACCUAACCUAUGGACGGGAAUAACCUCGGGAAACUGAGAAUAAUGCCCGAUAGAACACUAUACCUGGAAUGGUUUGUGUUCCAAAUGAUUUAUCGCCGUAGGAUGGGACUGCGGCCUAUCAGUUUGUUGGUGAGGUAAUGGCCCACCAAGACUAUUACAGGUACGGGCUCUGAGAGGAGUAGCCCGGAGAUGGGUACUGAGACACGGACCCAGGCCCUAUGGGGCGCAGCAGGCGAGAAAACUUUGCAAUGUGCGAAAGCACGACAAGGUUAAUCCGAGUGGUUUGUGCUAAACGAACCUUUUGUCGGUCCUAGAAACACCGAUGAAUAAGGGGUGGGCAAGUUCUGGUGUCAGCCGCCGCGGUAAAACCAGCACCUCAAGUGGUCAGGAUGAUUAUUGGGCCUAAAGCAUCCGUAGCCGGCUCUGUAAGUUUUCGGUUAAAUCUGUACGCUCAACGUACAGGCUGCCGGGAAUACUACGGAGCUAGGGAGUGGGAGAGGUAGACGGUACUCGGUAGGAAGGGGUAAAAUCCUUUGAUCUAUUGAUGACCACCUGUGGCGAAGGCGGUCUACCAGAACACGUCCGACGGUGAGGGAUGAAAGCUGGGGGAGCAAACCGGAUUAGAUACCCGGGUAGUCCCAGCUGUAAACUAUGCAAACUCAGUGAUGCAUUGACUUGUGGUCAAUGCAGUGCUGCAGGGAAGCCGUUAAGUUUGCCGCCUGGGAAGUACGUACGCAAGUAUGAAACUUAAAGGAAUUGGCGGGGGAGCACCACAAGGGGUGAAGCCUGCGGUUCAAUUGGAGUCAACGCCGGA
rnacentral:rRNA from 1 species